rnacentral:lncRNA from 1 species
CAAAUCCUAGGUUUCUAGGGCACUUUUAACAGCUGCAGAGUGUACAAGUAGGUUAAUGUAACCUCAGAUUUGCCUUUCAUACCCUUGUCAUGUUAACAGCAGACUGCUGACCUCAACUGGGGACUCCUGAUUUUUCCGAUGUAUCUGUGAUGGAUGGAGAAUGAAGCAGACCCAUGUCAUGUAUGAAACAGGAAGAAGUGGCAUAGUUACGUGGUUAAGGACAGCUGGAUCCGCAUUCAGAGUCCUGAGAAGGUUUGUCUCCCUCAGCAGCACAGGGAAGCAGAAUCAGGCAGAGGAAGGGCAGAGGCUUGAGCAUCACUUCCCUCUGACUGGAGAUGCCACUGUAGUCAUUGUGCCAAAGCUUUGA